rnacentral:rRNA from 1 species
UUAAAUUGAAGAGUUUGAUCAUGGCUCAGAUUGAACGCUGGCGGCAGGCCUAACACAUGCAAGUCGAACGGUAACAGGAAGCAGCUUGCUGCUUUGCUGACGAGUGGCGGACGGGUGAGUAAUGUCUGGGAAACUGCCUGGUGGAGGGGGAUAACUACUGGAAACGGUAGCUAAUACCGCAUAACGUCGCAAGACCAAAGAGGGGGACCUUC